rnacentral:rRNA from 1 species
AAAAGAACCGGCUAAUUUUUUUUCUACAAGCCGCGGUUAUAAGUAAGGGGGCAAUCGUACUUCGUAAUAAUUUGGUGCAAAGAAGGCGUAGGUGGUCGUUUAAGUCCUUCGAACAAACCUUGGGCUCCACAUGGGGAGUACAGUGGACACUGGGGGAUUAGAAAGUGGUCGAGGGAUGCGCAAUUCUUAGUGUUGCAAUGAUAAGCCUAGAGAUCAGCAGGAACAUCCAUGAGGAAGGAAGCUAUCUGGGGCAACAUUUUCACUGAGGCGGUAAAGCGUCGGGAGCAUACACGAUUAGAUACCCUGGUAGUCCUCGCCUCAAAAGAUGCGAAAUGGUUGUUGGGUGUAAUUUCGCUUCCUGUGUUGAAUAUAAGGCGUUAACUUUACAGCGUGGGGAGUACGGUCGCAAAAUAGAAACACAAAGGAAUUGUCGGGGGGCCGCUUCAAGCGUUGGUCGUAUGUGGUUUAAAUGGAUGACAAACAGAAACACCCUUCCUCUCCCUGACAUGUAGAGAACGUUCCAGAGAUGGAAUUGUGCGAUUAGGAAAUGGAACACAAAUGUUGCAUGGGUCUCUUCACAUCUAGUCACGAGAUAUGAGGUUAAGUCCCGCGCCGGGCGCACCCCUUGUCUUUAAUUCCCCGCACGUAACGGCGGGGACUUUAAGGAGUCUGCCGGUGACGAAGCAGAGGAAGGUGGGGGCGACGUCAACAUCAUCAAGGUCCUUACGGGCAGGGUGUACAACCGUAGUACAAAGUCACGGACAGAGCGGCUCAAGCCGCUCACGGGAAGUCAAUUCCCAGAAAGCCAAUCUCACUCCCCAGCGGAGUUCGUAACUCGUCUCCAUGCAUGUCGGAAUCCACUAGUAAUAGCAGAUCAGCAUUGUUGCGGUGAAUACGUUCCCGGGCCUUGUACACCCCGCCCGAAAGCGCCAUGCGAGUUCGUGCACCAGAAGCAGGCAGCUAACGACCGGAGGGCGCUACCAGCGGGGCACGUAAGGUG